CCCACCCGUGAAAACGCCCUUAAACCCCUUAUAGGGACAAGGAGCCGGUAUCAGGCACGAAAAUCUGCCCAAGACACCUAGCUUUGCCACACCCACAAGGGAUUUCAGCAGUGACCAAUAUUGAAUAUGAGCAUAAGCUUGAUUCAGUCAAAGUAAUUCAGGGCCGGCUAAUCUGGUGCCAGCCGCCGCGGUUACACCACGUGGCCCAAGUUGCCUUCCAUCGGCGUAAAACGUGAUUAAAGCUAACAUUAAAAUAGAGUUGAAUUUAAAUUAAGCUGUGACACGCCUGCUUAUAAGAAAACCUAACACGAAAGUUACUCUAAUUGAACCAACUUGAAUUCACGACAUCUAGGGAACAAACUGGGAUUAGAUACCCCACUAUGCCUAGUUGUAAACUUUUACUUACAUUUAAAUUGCCAGGGAAAUACGAGCCAAGCUUAAAACCCAAAGGACUUGACGGUACUUCAUACCCCCCUAGAGGAGCCUGUCCUAUAAUCGAUAAUCCACGAUCAACCUCACCAUUAACUAGUUUCUCAGCUUGUAUACCUCCGUCGUCAGCUUACCACGUGAGCGCAACUAUAGUGAGCUUAAUGUUAUAUCACCAACACGUCAGGUCAAGGUGCAGCAUACGUUAUGGGAAGAGAUGGGCUACACUUUCUAUUAUAGAUUAUACGAAAAGCUAAAUAUGCAAUUCUAGUUGGAAGGCGGAUUUAGAAGUAAAAAGAAAUCAGAAUGUUCUUUUUAACCUGGCCUUGAAGUGUGUACACACCGCCCGUCACCCUCUUCAAAUAA
rnacentral:rRNA from 1 species